rnacentral:rRNA from 1 species
CGGGGAACUGAAAUAUCUAAGUACCCGGAGGAAAAGAAAUCAACCGAGAUUCCCUGAGUAGCGACGAGCGAACGGGGACUAGCCCAAAAGCACAUUGUGUUCUAGUCAAACGGCAUGGAAAGGCCGGCCAUAGAUGGUGAUAGCCCAGUCGACGAAAGGGCACUUUGUGUGAAAUUGAGUAAGGCGGGGCACGUGAAACCUUGUCUGAACAUGGGGGGACCAU